rnacentral:rRNA from 1 species
UACGGGGGGAGCAAGCGUUGUCCGGAUUCAUUGGGCGUAAAGGGUGCGUAGGCGGCGCGGUAAGUCGGGUGUGAAAUCUCGGAGCUUAACUCCGAAACUGCAUUCGAUACUGCCGUGCUUGAGGACUGGAGAGGAGACUGGAAUUUACGGUGUAGCGGUGAAAUGCGUAGAUAUCGUAAGGAAGACCAGUGGCGAAGGCGGGUCUCUGGACAGUUCCUGACGCUGAGGCACGAAGGCCAGGGGAGCAAACGGG